rnacentral:rRNA from 1 species
UACAGAGGGGGCAAGCGUUGUUCGGAAUUACUGGGCGUAAGGGGCGCGUAGGCGGCCUUCUAAGUCGAACGUGAAAUCCCCGGGCUCAACCCGGGAACUGCGUCCGAUACUGGAAGGCUUGAAUCCGGGAGAGGGAUGCGGAAUUCCAGGUGUAGCGGUGAGAUGCGUAGAUAUCUGGAGGAACACCGGUGGCGAAGGCGGCAUCCUGGACCGGUACUGACGCUGAGGCGCGAAAGCCAGGGGAGCAAACGGG